AAAAACAUUAUUAAUAGAUAUAAUUAUUAAUAUAUCCUGCUCAAUGAAUAUUAAAUAGCCGCAGUUCAUACUGUGCUAAGGUAGCAUAAUCAUUUGUCUUUUAAUUAAAGACUAGAAUGAAAGGAUAAACAUUUAAAUCAUUUUUAUAAAUUCUUCAAUUAAAUUUAUUUCAAAUGUAAAAAAACAUUUAUUUAGAAGAAAGACGAAAAGACCCUAUUGAACUUAACUUAAGUUAAACUGGGGCAGUUAAUUAAUAAACAUUUUAAUAUCUUAUUUUUAAAAAAUGACCCGACUAAAUCGAUAAUAUGAUCAAGUUACCAUAGGGAUAACAGCGUAAUAUUUUUCUCUAGAUCUUAUAUAAAAAAAAGAUUACGACCUCGAUGUUGAAUUAAUUUUUCUAAUAGAUGCAACCAUCUAAAAAGAAAGUCUGUUCGACUUUUAAACAAUUACAUGAUCUGAG
rnacentral:rRNA from 1 species